CAAACGGUUCUUUUCAGGACCAUCGAAAUUAUUCCUAGAGUUAAUU
rfam:Aedes albopictus isolate Foshan contig176754, whole genome shotgun sequence.